GGCGGCUUAGCUCAGUUGGUUAGAGCGUUGGAAUCAUAAUCCAAAUGUCACUGGUUCGAGUCCGGUAGCCGCUA
rnacentral:tRNA from 1 species